rnacentral:rRNA from 1 species
AGCAGUCGCCGCGGUAAUACAGAGGGUGCAAGCGUUAAUCGGAAUUACUGGGCGUAAAGCGCGCGUAGGUGGUUUGUUAAGUUGGAUGUGAAAGCCCCGGGCUCAACCUGGGAACUGCAUCCAAAACUGGCAAGCUAGAGUACGGUAGAGGGUGGUGGAAUUUCCUGUGUAGCGGUGAAAUGCGUAGAUAUAGGAAGGAACACCAGUGGCGAAGGCGACCACCUGGACUGAUACUGACACUGAGGUGCGAAAGCGUGGGGAGCAAACAGGAUUAGAUACCCGAGUAGUCCCUGUCUCUUAUAC